GUAAUGUAGGAUGAAUCAAGUCAUUUCCAUCCUAGAAAAAGAGACUUAUUUUUAUUUCUUUUGGGUUAGUUUUCCUUGUUUAGUAGAUGUAAACAUCAUGGUGACCUUAAUCUAGUGUAUCAUGUAUAGCUUUUGGAUCUUUAUGAGUUAACAGGAUGUCUUUGUCAAAUCUUCUCCCUUCUGCAGAAGAUCAGUGCAUUAUGUAGUUUGCUUUUCUUGUUGGCAUACGAAUGCUUCAGAAAGGUAAUGAAGAAGAUGAGAGUGCAAAAGUAGGAUUACAAUGGUAAUGAAAAUUUGCAGCAUAAACUCGCUUUUGCCCACUUUGGGAUGAUGGAUGAAAUACGCUCCAUUCCAUUGUCCACUGUUCCAAAAGAUUUGAAUAAGG
rnacentral:lncRNA from 1 species